AUGGCCGGCCGGACGCCGUUCACCAACCUGGACCCGGCGACGGCGGCCGGACUCCAGCGCCUGGGCUUCGACCCCCACGAGGUGGACCGCGCCAAGGAGCAGCUGCUCACCUACAUCCGCGCCGAGCUCCUCCCCGCCCCGCCCGUCUCCGACGCCCCACCGCGCAGCAUCUUCUCCCGCCUCCUCAUCACGGAGGCCGCGCACGACCCCGCCCUCCCCACCAGCGCCGACCGUAUCAGUGUCCUCCCCGACGCCCUCCUCCGCAACAUCGUCUCCCGCUCCCCGUCGCCGACGCCGCGCGCACCGCCGUCCUCGCCUUGUGCUGGCGCCGAGUCUGGCUCUCCACGGAGCCCGUCCUCAUCGACGCAUUCCUCUGGCCCAACGCGUCGGCCGUCACCGCAACCGUCUCCUGCAUCCCCGGGACACUUCCGCCGCGUCCACCUCACGCGCAGCCACAUGGGCGCGCAGCAGGCCCGGCUCGCGCGCUGGCUCAAGCUCCUCGCUACCAAGGGCGUCCACGAGCUCGUCCUCGUCAACCGACCAUGGCCGUGCGAUGUGCCGCUCCCUGCCACGCUCUUCAGCAUCAGCUCCCUCGUCCGCCUCUACAUCGGCCUCUGGAAAUUCCCGGACACGGCCGGCCUGCGUGGCGCCUCGUUCCCCAACCUCCGCGAGCUCGGCAUCUGCACGGUCGUGAUGGAGCAGGGUGACGUCGACUCCCUCGUCGCCAGCAGCCCCGUCCUGGAGGUCCUGAGCAUCCAGGGAAGCCACAAGGGGCUGCGCAUCCGCGUGGUGAGCCAGAGCCUCCGGUGCGUGCAAAUCUGCAGCUCUGUUGUGGAGAAUGUCACGGUGGUGAAGGAUCCAUGCCUCGAGCGGCUCAUCCUGCAGGAAGGUCGGCACGCUGCUAGUGGCCUGUGUACCCGGGUCCGCAUUCGUGAUGCCCCCAAGCUACAUUCUUUUGGAUUCUUGGAGCCAGGAAAUGAUGUCCUGGAGAUCGGAGACAACGUCAUAAUGGUGAGUAUCCACUUGCAGUUGUCACUGUAG
rnacentral:rRNA from 1 species